rnacentral:lncRNA from 1 species
CAAGCACAUAUAUAUAGAUCAAACUCAUCGAAGUUACAUUAUCUAACGGGUGAACAUCAUCGUCUUAUUCGAUUGUCUACUUUUUUUUAUUUCUCCACUAAUAACAAACUAGGACAAACAACAUACUUAUUAUUCGCAAACAAAGAAGUUGGCUGGAGCAUGCAUUGCAUAUUGCAUCGUCGUCCGGCCACACUGCCGCCUGCCUCGCACGCGCGAUCUCACGGGCAGAAGGUGACCUGGUAGUUGCUGUUGCCGCUGCAGGCAUGGGUCUUGGUGUUGUCGCUGGGAAACAGGUAGGCGUCUGGGCAGCUGGGCCCGCCGCAGUUGAGGGUCACGCCGGUGCUGCACGAGAAGAGCAUGGCCAGGUUGUAGCCGUCGAUCACCGAGAUGUCGUAGAAGUCCUGGCUGCCGCCGCCGCCGAUGGUGAACUCGGCCAGCGUCAUGGGAGGCUGCCCCGAGAGCGUGCAGGAGAGUGCGCCGCCGCAGUCGCCCGUCUGGCAGCUCCCGCUGCCGCCGUUGAAGGAGCACCCCGUGCGCCCCCACACCCUGCCGGACUGGGUCCCCGCCGGCACGUCCACGGUCCACGUCUGCCCGGGGUCAAGCUGCGUGCCGCCGCCCACCGGGGUGGCCGCCGGCCACACCGUCGAGCCGCAGUUGUUGGUGAUGGUGAAUGUGGCCGCCCUCGCACUGGUGGCCACCAAGGCCGCGACGAGGAGCAAGAGGGCCGAGGAAGCAGCAGCCCCGGACGCCAUGGAUGCUAUUCCUAGCUAAUUGCGUUGUCUACGAUGUGUGGGUACGUGGCUAGGGCUAGCUAAGAGCUUAAUGCGUUUGUAGUGUGGAGGAGUUUAGGGAGGAUGCAUGCGAUAUUUAUAGGCUAUGGCUGCCGGAGAAGAAAAAUAUACGGCUAUACGGGGAUGAAGGAAUGACAAAAUUACCCUUGGAUCGAUCAUAUCGCCAGUUUUGGGUGACAGUGAGAUUGGGCUGUUCCUUUCUUUCCUUUCCCGACCUAUUUCAGACUGUUAAUUUCCUGUGUAGGAUGCAACAGUAAAGUAUUUCCUGACCUAUAAAUUUUGUUCUUUGGCGGUUAAUAAAUAAAAGUGCGCGCGCGCCAGUAGAAAUAUAAAAAAUACCAACAACAAAUAUGUUUUCUGUACUAGUAUGCUGAAAUUAUUUUGACAAAAUUAAUUACCUCUAAUAUGAAGCUUCGUGCACAGACCAGAUCCUCCAAAUUAAGUUAGGCAAUAACGCAACGGUAGGCGGCGUGAUUGGCUGCCGUCGUAUCCACAAAAUUCUAUAUUAAACGCAGUGGUGGAAUUCAGUACGUAGAAUUCUACGCGACAUGGAAAUCAAAUCCUAAGCUACAAGGCCAGACUGAAGGACAGCAUUGGCAGCACAUCAAUAUUAAUUACACAAGUGCUUAUUUGACUGUUAAGAGCCCUGAGCUUCUAAUAACUAGAGGAAGCCCAGGUCAAACCGUGCAAACCGGUCGAGCCGAACCAGGUUCGGACGUAUAUAAAACAAGACCCGGAGUGCUAGGGUUCAGUUUUUCACGCCCUAUCCUGAUUCAUUAGCGAUAGCGCAUGCGACGACGGCGGUUGCCCGAGAACGUGCGCUGCGAUGGCCAUGGCUCCCUGACCUCGACGCGCAGUGGUGGCGGUUUCUCGAUCCGAAGUAGUGGCGGCGGUUCCCAGGUCGGUGGCGGUGGCUCCCCGAUCCAGAGGGCGAGCGACGGCGGGGCCCUUGUGCGGGCAAGCGGCGGCGUCUCCGGGGCCUCGAGGCGGCGGCACUCGAUGUGCGAGUAGCGACGGCGACGCACGAGGCGCGAGGUUCGAGUGGCGUCAUGUAAGGCGCGAGGUGCACUCAACGAUGAUUUCGCGUGAUAUCCUCCGUUGCGGCGCAGUUUGGGCAAUCCGAGUGACGACCUACAUCUGUGCUUGUGUCGUCGAUGACCUCUGACGACGACUACCUCCUCCGAUUCGUGUUUUCUUUUCGAUUAUUGUGUUUUAUGCCUAACACAUUUAUUAUUUACGCUAAAAAUUGUACGAUUUUGUGCUUGAACACGGAGUUCGUAUGUCAGUUUACUGCAUGCAUAUUUUUUACAUGCACAUUGGAAAGACAAUUCCUUGAUUUAUGUUGUUCAUAAUGGGGGCCUUCGUCUUUCGAAGGUCCUCAAAAACAAGACUAAUAUGUUUUCCAUGUAUAAUACAUGUACAGGUACCUUCGGACAUAGGAUGAAAUCGUACAUGAUAUGAAGAACGCGGUUCGGGAGAAGGAUGAACUAGUGUCGAAGCUACCUGUGAAAAAGCUUCGACUCAGCGAUGAAAAGUGAAACCGACUUAAAGGGGAAAAGGCUGUCUAGUCCUCGAUAGAUUAUUCUUAAGUCAAUAGCAAAUGUCAAGGGCAUGAAUAUAAUUCUACACAGGCUGCGUCCUGUGCCUAUAAAUAGAUGAACAGUGACACCGUACUGUUCACGCUGACUGACAUUCAUUCUCACGUCACGCUUGUACUUUUGCCUUCUGUCGAGACGAAGGUAUAAAUGUAAUUCGAUACCGUUCAUGUUGACUUAUAAAAAUGUUCUGGUAAUGUGAUAUGAUCAUUCAUGUUAUUUCCUAUAUUUCAUAUGUUUUUACCGGCUUUACUAUAUACUAAAAUUAUGAAGGUACGUUCUUCAUGACCUUCGUCUGAAGAUCAUUAUAUCCUAAGGGAGAUAAUGCUUCAAAGGACGAAGGUCUUUAACCAUUGACAUUUUGUGUUGUCUUAUUCUUAAUUCAUAUCAUUUGAGAACAAGUCCCCAACAAUAAUUACCAUAAAAAAUCAAAUCAUUUAUGUUCAUAAAUGACAGAUUUGUAUGUCUGCCAUAAAACUAUCCCUAAUUCCUGUAUAUUCGUAAUUAUUAUAAAAAAUCAAAUCAAAUCACUUAUGUUCGUAAAUGCCAGAUUUUUAUGCCUGCCAUAAAACCGUUCCUAAUUUCCGCUGUCGUUCUUAGUUGGACCGAUAUAUUAUGCUACACAGUGUAAGUAUUUAUGCGACUUUGUAUAAGAAUUUAUGCACUAUGUGACUCAUGUCAUCCAAUUUUUUGCGCGCGUGAACUGGAAAGAAAAAUAUAAUCCAAAAUUUGUAUGCAUGCAAUGGAAACUCCCAUGAUUUGACAUAAUUUUUGGAUCUAUAUAAAAAUAGAAACCGCGUGCAUGCGACUGUCAUAUUUUUUGGAUCUGCCAUAAAAAUAGGAUCGUAAUAACAACCUACUAGAACUAUCAACCUCUCACAUUGGCUCGAUAUUUACGGUUAUAACUGAGGGGUUUUAUGCUCAAAAUUUAAGGUUUUUACGCUCGAACCUGGAGAUGCGUCCACCAGUGAACAACAUGUCAGAUUUUUUACACAAUAUACCGCAUUGUAUAAAUACUUACAUCGUGCAACAUAAUUUAUAUAAGUAUAUAUCAUAAACUAGUCUAACGUGCCUAAUUGCAUGGUUGUUGGAGCGAUCCUAUAUUUAUGGAGAAAAUAAAGCAUUUAAAUAAGUUUUUUUGUUUCCAUGCAUGCCAAUCGAUUUCAUUUCAUCGCAAAUCUUGCCAUUCUAAAUUUGUGCGCAUGCAGCAGGAAACAAAUUUUUACGCAGUGUACCGAAUUGCAUAAAUAUCUACACCGUGUAGUAUAAUUAGUAUCAGUAUAUAUCAUAAAUUAGUUCUAACGAGUUUAGUUGAAUGGCUGUUGGAGGGAUCCUAUAUUUAUGGAGAAAAUAAAACAUUAAAUACGAUUUUUUUUUAUUUCUAUGCAUGAUAAUUCAUUUCCUUUCACUGCACAUUCUUUCUAUCACAAGUUUGUGCGCAUGCAGUGGCUAACAGAUUUUUACACAAUAUAGCGAAUUGCAUAAUUAUCUACACAGUGUAGCAUAUUUAGUAUCGGUAUAUAUCAUAAAAUGGUCCUUACGAGCCUAGCUGCAUGACUGUUGCAGCGAUCCUAUAUUUAUGUAGAAAAUAAAACAUUUAAAAAUAGAAACUGCCACACAUCUCUUUCCUAAAUUUACGUGUAUGCAAGGGAAUGUGUUUGACUCAUGCAUGCAUUCUUUUUUUUGCACGCACAGACGUGGGACGGGUGGCGCACCCGACAGCCUGCUUGAGUCAGCGCGUCGGGUUGAACCAGGUUGCAGAUAGAUGGAUAUAAAAUAGCAUGUCUAGUAGUUGAUUUAAUAUGGUAUUACUACAUAGUGUAUAUAUACACUACUAGAACUAGCAUUAUUAUUGUUGACUUAUCCCAUUAUUCUAUUACACAUCAAUAUAAUACUUACAAAACUACUAGAACUAGCAUUAUUAUCACUGAACUUUUGUUAGCUUCAGGUUAUAUUAUAUUACCCGUUGAUUUUUUUCUAAAACUUUGACCACUUAUCUUAUUUAAAAUAUUUAUUUGAAAAUAUAAAAUUUCAAGUCACACUAAAACAAUCUUAAGUGAUAAAACAAACCACAAUAAAAUAAAUGAUAACUCAUUAAAUUUUUAGAAAAAGAUGAAUGGCCAAAGUUUUAGAAAAAAAGUUAACGACGUCAUAUAUUUAUAUGAAUGGAGGUAGUAUUUUUUAUAUAUUUUUUGAAAUAUACAUUUAUGCACAUGACAAAAUAGCCUUCAAUUUCAGCUUGUGGUCGUUCUGUAGUCUUCGUGAUAAGAUGUCUAAUAUAUGUAGAACAUGUGUAGAAAAAACUGACCUAAUUGUGGAGAAAUACAUGGCAAUCGGACCUAACAUGCAUACACUAGUCAAAUAACCCCCAAAAGUUUAAGUUGACAAAAAACAAGGUCAUAUCUCUACCGGCUUCUACUUUUUCUACAGUGUUUUUGUCUCUAUGGAUUACAGAUGCAUCAAUCCAAACAACCUCUACUAAUAUCAAACUCCUUGGAGGAUAGACUGAUAGAUCUAUGAACUUGCUACUAGAUUUACUUAAUGAUGCACUCCCUAAGGGUUCAACAUUACCUAAGAGAUUUUAUGAAGCUAAUAAAUUGGUGAAAUCUAUAGGAAUUGGAUACAAUUGUAUUUAUUCAUGUGAAAAUGAUUGCAUUCUUUAUUCGAAGGAUUAUGCAAAAUUAAAUUCAUGUCCAAAUUGUACGGUUUCGUGUUGGAAAUCAAUAAGGAGUCUAGAUGGGAAACAUAUAUACAAGGUUCCUAGAAAGGUUCUCAGCUACAUUCCGAUAACAAAAAUGCUCCAAAGGCCAUUCAUGACCCCUAAAGUAGCAGGUCUAGCAAGAUGGCAUGAUGAAGACCGGAUAAAAGAUGGUUUGCUAAGGCAUCCUGUAGAUUCACCUUUAUGGCAAGACUUUGAUACAAAACAUCCAGAGUUUGCAGCAGAUAGCCGAAAUAUUCGUCUAGCAUUUGCAACUGAUGGCUUUAAUCCAUUUAGGAGCAUGAAUGUUAGCUAUAGUGUUUGGCCCAGCAUUUGUAUUCCAUAUAAUUUCCCCCCUUCAAUGUGCAUGAAGCAAUCAAAUUUUAUCCUUUCUUUGUUGAUUCCUGGCCGAAAUAGUCCUGGUAGUGACAUGGAUGUCUAUUACCAGCCACUUGUUGAUGAUUUGUUAGAUAUGUUUGUUAAUGGAGUAAGAACCUAUGAUGCUUCAAAGGGUGAGUUUUUCCAGCUUUAAGCUACAGUAAUAUGGACUAUUACAGAUUUCCUUAGCCUAGGAUAUGCAUAUGGAUUUGUCACAUUAGGUGAAGUAGCAUGUCCUAAUUGCCAUUACUACACAAUUUCACUUAGGCUUGGAAAUGGUAGCAAGAAUUGCUAUAUGGACCAUCGCAGAUUUUUGGAUGAAAACCACCCAUUUAGAAUUGAUGUUGACAAAUUUGGUUGUACAGAGUUUAGGCCAGGACCUAGUCCACUAUCUGGAGAGAAAAUAUUGGAGUGCAUUAAACAUCUUAAUCCAAUUGUUAGCAAGGACCCAUCUAGGAAAAAACCAACAAGCAAGAGACCCAAGAAAGGGGAACCAUUAGUCAUUUUCAAAAGGAGAUCUUUUGGUUCCACUACCAUAUUGGAAAGAUUUAAUGUGGCGACAUAAUUUUGACUUCAUGCACAUAGGGAAGGAAUGUGAGCAAAAGCUUAGUUAAUACAUUCAUGGGCAUCGAUGGGAAAUCAAAGGAUAACUUGAAUUCUCGGUUGGACCUUCAAGCUUUAGGUAUUAGAAGUGAUCUUCAUCCUAUUAAAGUUGAAGACCAAUUUUAUUUACCACCUGCACCUUACUCAAUGAGUUCCGACGAGAGGAAAUUAUUUUGUCAAGACUUAACGGUGUGAAGUUUUCUGAGGGUUAUGCAUCUGAUAUACGUCAUAAUGUACAUGUUAAUGAGAAAAGGAUAAUUGGGUUGAAGAUUUAUGAGAACCAUAUUAUUCUACAACACUUGUUCAUCGUUCGCCGGUGCUCAUCACGUGCAGAAGGUGACCUGGUAGUUGUUGUU